rnacentral:rRNA from 1 species
UACGGAGGUCUCAAGCGUUGUUCGGAUUCAUUGGGCGUAAAGGGCGCGUAGGCGGCGGGGUAAGUCGGGUGUGAAAUCUCAGAGCUCAACUCUGAAACUGCACUCGAUACUGCUCUGCUUGAGGACUGGAGAGGAGACUGGAAUUCACGGUGUAGCAGUGAAAUGCGUAGAUAUCGUGAGGAAGACCAGUGGCGAAGGCGGGUCUCUGGACAGUUCCUGACGCUGAGGCGCGAAGGCCAGGGGAGCAAACGGG